GACGAACCGUGCGAACGUUGUUCGGAAUCACUGGGCUUAAAGGGCGCGUAGGCGGCUCCGCAAGUCGGGGGUGAAAUCUUUCGGCUUAACCGGAAAAGUGCCUCUGAUACUGCGGAGCUCGAGGGAGGUAGGGGCGGACGGAACUUCCGGUGGAGCGGUGAAAUGCGUUGAUAUCGGAAGGAACGCCGGUGGCGAAAGCGGUCCGCUGGCCCUCUACUGACGGCUGAGGCGCGAAAGCCAGGGGGAGCAAAGCGGG
rnacentral:rRNA from 1 species